rnacentral:lncRNA from 1 species
CAUUUUUUGUCACGCCAUGCGCCAUGCGCACGACCGUUAUUUACCAUUCGUAUAGUGUCUAGAACGCACGAACAAAACAGAGGAUAUUUGGAUAUAACGAUGGAUUAUUUGGGACCAAACCUACAUUUGUUAUUGAAGUAGAAGUCCUGGGAGUGCAUUCUGACGAAGAACAGGAAAGGUGCUGUUUCCUCCAGUCAGAGUGGGAUCUCUGCAGCAGAAGUGGAGCUGAGAGUCAGACCAUGAGACAACAUCACUCUCUACUGUGACUGUAGUGUUUCCAUUGGAAUAUUUAUUGUGUGGUUCAGGAAUGGUUCUCAUGAGCACCAGCCUACUCGUACGAUCUCCGACUACUUCCAAAAUCCUCUCCCUCACUUCACUCCGGUGUGGAACCCCUCUAACAACUCUUAUGAUCUACUGAUUGAAUCACUGAAUCUGACCUUGGACUGUGGGACUGUGGAGCUGAAUGAUGAAGUGAAGAUUCAGGUCUACCACUAUGGAAAAGUCCGCACUUGGAUUUUAUUUGGAGAAAAAGAAGGAACCGGAGCAGAGACCAGAGGGGCCACGCCA